rnacentral:rRNA from 1 species
GACAUGUGGACAGUAUGGGAGUGAGAAUGUUGGCAUGAGUAGCGAGAUGUGGGUGAGAAUCCCACAGGCCGUAAACCCAAGGUUUCCAGGGGAAGGUUCGUCCGCCCUGGGUUAGUCGGGACCUAAGCUGAGGCCGAAAGGCGUAGGUGAUGGACAACAGGUUGAUAUUCCUGUACUACCGAUAACCGUUUGAGAGAAGGGAUGACACAGUAGGAUAAGCUAAGCACACUGUUGGUUAUGUGUGCCCAAGCAUUGAGGCAGUCAAAGUAGGCAAAUCCGCUUUGAUAAUGCUGGGAUGUGAUGGGGAGCGAAAUUUAGUAGCGAAGUAGCUGAUUUCACACUGUCAAGAAAAGUCUCUAUCGAGGUUAAAGGUACCCGUACCGCAAACCGACACAGGUGGGUGAGGAGAGUAUCCUAAGGCC